rnacentral:rRNA from 1 species
GAGUUUGAUCGUGGCUCAGAACGAACGCUGGCGGCGUGGAUAAGACAUGCAAGUCGAACGGGAGAAUUGCUAGCUUGCUAAUAAUUCUCUAGCGGCGCACGGGUGAGUAACACGUGAGUAACCUGCCCCCGAGAGCGGGAUAGCCCUGGGAAACUGGGAUUAAUACCGCAUAGUAUCGAAAGAUUAGAGCAGCAAUGCGCUUGGGGAUGGGCUCGCGGCCUAUUAGUUAGUUGGUGAGGUAACGGCUCACCAAGGCGAUGACGGGUAGCCGGUCUGAGAGGAUGUCCGGCCACACUGGAACUGAGACACGGUCCAGACACCUACGGGUGGCAGCAGUCGAGAAUCAUUCACAAUGGGGGAAACCCUGAUGGUGCGACGCCGCGUGGGGAAUGAAGGUCUUCGGAUUGUAAACCCUGUCAUGUGGGAGCAAAUUAAAAAGAUAGUACCACAAGAGGAAGAGACGGCUAACUCUGUGCCAGCAGCCGCAGU